rnacentral:rRNA from 1 species
ACACACGACAAUAUAUGUACUAAAGGCACCAGAAACCACCUGAUCUUGAGAGCUAAGCAGGAGCAGCCCUGAUUAGUACUUGGAUGGGAGACUACCAGUGAAUAUCAGGAGCUGUAGGUC